AUAGAGUGGUCUUUGUACCAUUAGGGGCGCUUAGGCGCUCCGUUCUACUUAUACACUUGAUUACAUUUCCCUUUGCUUUCCGCAUCAGCGAUGGUGCGGAACAUCAUAUAUAACUCUGUUUAACUGUAAUGUCUGAAUACAACUUAAUAAGUUA
rnacentral:misc_RNA from 1 species